rnacentral:pre_miRNA from 1 species
AGGAGGAACAGCCCCAGUGGCGGGGCAGCUCUGCAGCCCUGGAUUCAGCUCCGGCAGGAGCUCCGUCUGCAGGGCCUGGAGGCUCCGGGGCGGG